GUUAACAGUUCUUCUUCUGCAAUGUUUUAGGGAGCUGGUUAACAGUUCCUCUUCUGCAAUGUUUUAGGUGGCUGGUUAACACUUCUUCUUCUACAAUGUUUCAGGGGGCUGGUUAACACUUCUUCUGCAAUGUUUUAGGGGGCUGGUUAACACUUCUGCAAUGUUUUAGGGGGCUGGUUGACAGUUCUAGUGGAGGCCUUCAAGGUAAAGGCUGGUUGCUCCUGUGUGGUUGCUGCUCAGUGCUUCUCCAAAACUUGUAUGCAAUGGCUUCACCUCCUCCUUGUGUGUGUGCCGUGUCUCAAACAGGA